CCUACGGGGUGCAGCAGUGGGGAAUAUUGGACAAUGGGGGGAACCCUGAUCCAGCCAUGCCGCGUGUGUGAAGAAGGCCCUCGGGUUGUAAAGCACUUUCAGUGAGGAAGAACGCCUGGUGGUUAAUACCCAUCAGGAAAGACAUCACUCACAGAAGAAGCACCGGCUAACUCCGUGCCAGCAGCCGCGGUAAUACGGAGGGUGCGAGCGUUAAUCGGAAUUACUGGGCGUAAAGCGCGCGUAGGUGGCUUGAUAAGCCGGUUGUGAAAGCCCCGGGCUCAACCUGGGAACGGCAUCCGGAACUGUCAAGCUAGAGUGCAGGAGAGGAAGGUAGAAUUCCCGGUGUAGCGGUGAAAUGCGUAGAGAUCGGGAGGAAUACCAGUGGCGAAGGCGGCCUUCUGGACUGACACUGACACUGAGGUGCGAAAGCGUGGGUAGCAAACAGGAUUAGAUACCCUGGUAGUC
rnacentral:rRNA from 1 species